UGUGUGAUCCUAUAUGUGAUAAAGAUUGCAUGAAAAAUGAAGUUGUUGAAAAACUCAAGUCCAAACUAGGCGCUUGAUAAUUGACCAGGAAUUUAAAGUUGACAGCUGGAAAAUGGUGGGAUCAACUAUAAAUGAUUUGAUUAAUUAACAUUUUAGAAAGGAAAAUCUAAAUUCCCUUUCAUUUUCUUCAUUCAAUAUAAUUUGUUGUUUCUUUAUACAAAGGUUCUACCUUAUGUGUCGUUGGGUGCUUCUUUCGUCAUUAUUUUCAACAACGAGAUCAAUAAAGUUUAUUUACGCCUUUU